rnacentral:rRNA from 1 species
CCCUUAGAUGUUCUGGGCCGCACGCGCGCUACACUGACGAAUGCAACGAGCUUAUAACCUUGGCCGAAAGGUCUGGGUAAUCUCCAAAUUUCGUCGUGAUGGGGAUAGCUUAUUGCAAUUAUUAAUCUUCAACGAGGAAUGCCUAGUAAGCGCAAGUCAUCAGCUUGCGUUGAUUACGUCCCUGCCCUUUGUACACACCGCCCGUCGCUCCUACCGAUUGAAUGGUCCGGUGAAGCGUUCGGACCGUGGCCUUUGGACGGUUCGCCGUCUGUUGGCUGCGGGAAGUUCGUUAAACCUUAUCAUUUAGAGGAAGGAGAAGUCGUANCA